UUGAACUCCAUUGCAUUUUUAUUUUGUUCACAGAAUAGAAUGUAACAGGAAUGAAAUAGCUAUCUUAUAGUCAUGAAAUAGCUGUUACUUAUGGAAAUUGUAUGCUUUAGAAUUCAUAUCUUUUUCUUUCUUUUGUCUCUCUUCCUUUUGCUUCCAUGUUGUUUGAUGUAUAGAUAUGCAUUACUGAAAUCUUUUUGACUAAUUCAGUUUUAAUAGAAGGAUUCUUGUAGAGAUAAUUAAUUGUCUCAUUUGAAUAUUAUUCAUGAUCAAAUUGCGUGCAGUUUAAUAUUAGGUGGAAAUUAAUUGUAAUAAUAUUCAUACUUUUUAAUUAAGUACAUGAAGAAUUAGUUUGAUAAUUAUUUUGUAAAUAUUGGUGUGGGAUUUUAUUGAUGUUUAUUAAUAUUUCAUCAAUAAAAAAAAUUUUAAAAUUAAAUACAUUUCAUUAUAUAAAUGAAAUAUAAUUAUUAAAAAAAUUAACAAG
rnacentral:misc_RNA from 1 species